AUUCCGGUUGAUCCUGCCGGAGGACAUUGCUAUUGGGAUUCGAUUUAGCCAUGCUAGUCGAGCGAGUUCAGACUCGCGGCGAAUAGCUCAGUAACACGUGGCCAAGCUCCCCUUCAGUCAGCGAUACCCUCGGGAAACUGAGGUUAACAGCUGAUACAAAACGCCAGCUGGAAUGCGGCGUUUCAGAAAGACAUCGCUGAAGGAUGCGGUUGCGGCCGAUUAGGUAGACGGUGGGGUAACGGCCCACCGUGCCAGUAAUCGGUACGGGUGAUGAGAGUCAGAGCCCGGAGACGGAAUCUGAGACAAGGUUCCGGGCCCUACGGGGCGCAGCAGGCGCGAAACUUUUACACUGCACGGAAGUGCGAUAGGGGAAUCCCAAGUGCGAGGGCAUAUUAGCCCUCGCUUUUCUCGACUGUAAGGUGGUCGACGAAUAAGAGCUGGGCAAGACCGGUGCCAGCCGCCGCGGUAAUACCGGCAGCUCAAGUGAUGUCCCAUAUUAUUGGGCCUAAAGCGUCCGUAGCU
rnacentral:rRNA from 1 species